GAUGAACGCUGGCGGCGUGCCUAAUACAUGCAAGUCGAGCGAACAGACGAGGAGCUUGCUCCUCUGACGUUAGCGGCGGACGGGUGAGUAACACGUGGAUAACCUACCUAUAAGACUGGGAUAACUUCGGGAAACCGGAGCUAAUACCGGAUAAUAUAUUGAACCGCAUGGUUCAAUAGCGAAAGACGGUUUUGCUGUCACUUAUAGAUGGAUCCGCGCCGCAUUAGCUAGUUGGUAAGGUAACGGCUUACCAAGGCAACGAUGCGUAGCCGACCUGAGAGGGUGAUCGGCCACACUGGAACUGAGACACGGUCCAGACUCCUACGGGAGGCAGCAGUAGGGAAUCUUCCGCAAUGGGCGAAAGCCUGACGGAGCAACGCCGCGUGAGUGAUGAAGGACUUCGGAUCGUAAAACUCUGUUAUUAGGGAAGAACAAAUGUGUAAGUAACUAUGCACGUCUUGACGGUACCUAAUCAGAAAGCCACGGCUAACUACGUG
rnacentral:rRNA from 1 species